AUUGAACGUUGGCGGCAUGCCUUACACAUGCAAGUCUAACGGCAGCACGGAGCUUGCUCUGGUGGCGAGUGGCGAACUGGUGAGUAAUAUAUCGGAACGUACCCAAGAGUGGGGGAUACCGUAGCGAAAGUUACGCUAAGACCGCAUACGAUCUAAGGAUGAAAGCAGGGGAACGCAAGACCUUGUGCUCCUGUAGCGGCUGAUAUCUGAUUAGCUAGUUGGUUGGGUAAAGGCUCACCAAGGCAUCGAACAGUAGCUGGUCUGAGAGGACGACCGGCAACACUGGAACUGAGACACGGUCCAGACUCCUACGGGAGUCAGCAGUGGGGAAUUUUGGACAAUGGGGGCAACCCUGAUCCAGCAAUGCCGCGUGAGUGAAGAAGGCCUUCGGGUUGUAAAGUUCUUUUGUCCGGGAAGAAACGGUGAAGGCUAAUAUCCUUUGCUAAUGACGGUACCUGAAGAAUAAGCACCGGCUAACUACGUGCCAGCCGCCGCAGUAAUAC
rnacentral:rRNA from 1 species